rnacentral:pre_miRNA from 1 species
UAAAUACUCCCUCCGUCCGGAAAUACUUGUCAUCAAAAUGAAUAGAUGACAAGUAUUUCCGGACGGAGGGAGUAGUAC